rnacentral:rRNA from 1 species
GAUGAACACUGGCGGCGUGCCUAAUACAUGCAAGUCGAGCGAACGGACGAGAAGCUUGCUUCUCUGAUGUUAGCGGCGGACGGGUGAGUAACACGUGGAUAACCUACCUAUAAGACUGGGAUAACUUCGGGAAACCGGAGCUAAUACCGGAUGAUAUUUUGAACCGCAUGGUUCAAAAGUGAAAGACGGUCUUGCUGUCACUUAUAGAUGGAUCCGCGCUGCAUUAGCUAGUUGGUAAGGUAACGGCUUACCAAGGCAACGAUGCAUAGCCGACCUGAGAGGGUGAUCCGCCACACUGGAACUGAGACACGGUCCAGACUCCUACGGGAGGCAGCAGUAGGGAAUCUUCCGCAAUGGGCGAAAGCCUGACGGAGCAACGCCGCGUGAGUGAUGAAGGUCUUCGGAUCGUAAAACUCUGUUAUUAGGGAAGAACAUAUGUGUAAGUAACUGUGCACAUCUUGACGGUACCUAAUCAGAAAGCCACGGCUAACUACGUG